rnacentral:rRNA from 1 species
AAUACGUUCCCGGACCUUGCACACACCGCCCGUCAAGCCAUGGAAGCUGGGUGUACCUAAAGUCGGUAACCGCAAGGAGCUGUCUAGGGUAAAACUAGUAACUGGGGCU